rnacentral:rRNA from 1 species
UUUUUGUCUAAAAAACGCAGACAGUGAAUGCCUUGGUAGAGUUGGCCGAUGAAGGACGCAGACAGCCGCGAUAGUCGUCGGGGAGGAGCUAUCAUCCGAUUGAUCCGACGGUUUCCGAAUGGGGAAACCCAGUCGCCCUCAUAGGCGACUACCGAUACCCCAAGUUUCACCGCAAGGUGAUUAUUAAGGUUGAGGUGGGAACCCGGGGAACUGAAACAUCUAAGUACCCGGUGGAAAAGAUACUGACAUUGUAUUCCGUAAGUAGCGGUGAGCGAAAGCGGAACAGCCCAAACCUGCUCGUGCAUGGCACGAGAUGGCUUACAGACUACAGUCUACGGUCUACAGCAAUAAGGAUUUAUUUUUCUUAAAAGCAUGUAGUCAGUAGUCGGUAGACAGUAGACCUUCUCCUGCUGUGCAGGAGCGGGGGUUGUAGGACCCAAGACGAGAGUAGUUGAGACAGCAGAAUAUUGUGGAAUAAGUAGCCAAAGAGCGUGAGAGCCGCGUACGUAAAAUCAAAACUACCUCAUGGGAAUUCCUGAGUACCACGGGACACGAGAAAUCUUGUGGGAAUCCACCCAGACCGCUGGGUAAGGCUAAAUACCGACUCUGACCGAUAGUGAACUAGUACCGCGAGGGAAAGGUUAAAAGAAGGGUGAGACACCCAGUGAAAUAGAACCUGAAACUGUUUGCGAACAAACCGAUAGAGCUCUUCGACCGCAAGGUCUCAGAGUGAUAUCGUGCCUAUUGAAGAAUGAACCGGCGAGUAAUCGUAUAGUGCUUGCUUAAUCCGCUUUGGCGGAGGAGGCACAGUGAAAGCGAGGGUGAAUAGCCCGCAUUUGUACUAUAUGGUUGGCCCGAAACCAGGUGAUCUAUCCUCGAGCAGGGUGAAUCCCGACGAAAGUCGCGGAGGAAGCCCGAACCCGUUGUUGCUGCAAUAACAUGGGAUGACUUGUGGAUAGCGGUAAAAUGCCAAUCGAACCUGGAGAUAGCUGGUUCUCCCCGAAAGGUCUAAAGGGACCGUCUUUUGUGAUAAUUUUACUGGGGUAGAGCACUGAUUGGGAUAUCAAGGGUAACUGAGAUAUUUCAGCCAAACUCCGAAUACAGUAAAGGAACCCAAGGGAAACAGACAUACGGGGCUAAGCUCGUGUGUCGAAAGGGAAACAACCCAGACUCUCAGUUAAGGCCUCUAAAUUUUGGUUAAGUUGUGAAGGAAGUUAUCGUCCUCUGACACCCAGGAAGUUGGCUCAGAAGCAGCCACCUUUUAAAGAUAGCGUAAUAGCUCACUGGUUGAUGGAUGAUAGCGCCGAAAAUGUAUCGAGGAUCAAACCAAAUGCCGAAGCUGGAGAUUCCACCGCAAGGUGGUAUGGUAGGGGAGCGUACUGUGUACUUUGAAGGUGAACUGUAAGGUUUGCUGGAGCGCACAGUAGUGAGAAUGCCGGUUUGAGUAGCGUAUAUCUGAGUGAGAAUCUCAGACACCGAAUACCCAAGGUUUCCGUCGCAACGUUCGUCGUCGACGGGUUAGUCGGCUCCUAAGGUGAGGCCAUAAUGGCGUAGCCGAUGGACAAGCAGUUAAUAUUCUGCUACUUGUUUUGUAUCGUUUGAGCUGGGGACUGACUAAAUUGGAUGUUUUAGGGUUGCCUAUCGAAUAUGGCGACUGUAAGCUGUUACAUAGUUUUGACUGGGAAAUCCGUUAAAAUGAUUAAUGAAGCAGUGAUACAAAGUGUUCCGCAAGGGAUGCAAUUUAAACACAUUCAGUUUACGAGAAAAGGUUCGCGGUUAGAUGCAAAGCAGGCCGUACCACAAACCGACACUGGUGGGUUGGUAGAGUAUACCAAGGUGAGCGAGUAAAAGAGGCUUAAGGAACUCGGCAAACAAUCUGGACGUAAGUUCGCAAGAUGUCCUGCCCCCCUUCGCUUUUUGCUCCGCAAGAGCUUCGGUUAGUAAACAUUCUUUGUCUUAACACGAGAAACUGUUUAUUAAGUACCGUAGCUCCGAGCGUGGCGAGGAGCGGAGGGGGGUUACAACACAAGAUUUUCAACCGACUGUUUAUCAAAAACACAGGUCCCUGCAAAGCCGCAAGGCAACGUAUAGGGGCUGACGCCUGCCCAGUGCCGGUAAGUCAACGGGAUUCCUGUUAAAGGGAUGAACCGAAGCUCCGGUAAACGGCAGCAGUAACUAUAACUGUUCUACGGUAAAUCGUUGCUGUAGUAAAAUCUGACUAAAUGCUGGGAAAACUGGUAGUAUCUUGAGCUAGUUAAGGUAUUGACUUGGGGUUAAUUUCGGGUAAUACUGAAUUAAUGCUCAACGCCAUAACUGACAAAGCUUUAAGUGAUCCAGAAAAUCAGCAGGAAAGACUAGAAAUUGUUGGAUGGAUUAUUGGAUUUACUGAUGGUGAAGGUUGCUUUUCCGUUAGUAUUGUCCGUAAAACGAGUUCUUUAGGUUGGCAAGUAAUGCCUGAAUAUGUAGUAACCCAAGGAGAAAAGAGUUUAGAUGCAUUAAAGAAAAUACAAAAUUUCUUUAACUGUGGGAAUAUCUUUGUAAAUAGAAGAUAUGAUAACCAUACAGAAAAUCUUUAUAGAUUUUGCAUCCGCUCUUUAAAAGAUCUAAAUGAAGUUAUAGUUCCUUUUUUUAGGAAACAUAAACUUCAAACAGCUAAGUACAAUGAAUUUUGUCACUUUGCAAAAAUAAUGGAUCUUGUAAAGACUAAUAAACAUCUUUCUUUAGAAGGAAUUCAGGAAAUUACGCUAAUUGCCAGCCAAAUGAAUAUCAAGAGAUCUCGAACAUUUCUAGAAUCCCCAGAGACUUUACGUCAGACCACUCGCCAGCUAUAAGCUGUGGGUGGAAGAUAUAGUCCGAACUCAUGGGCGACUAUGAGAACUUGCGAAAUCGCGCAAGCUAAUUAACAAACGUAUCAAUUAAUAAUUGAUUUCUAGAGCGAAGUUCCUUGUCGUGUGAGUUACGACCCGCACGAAAGGCGUAACGAGUUGAAAACUGUCUUGAGCUUCUACUCGGCGAAAUAGCGAUGGCUGUGAAGACGCGGCCUAUUUGUACCUGGACAAAAAGACCCCGUGGAGCUUUACUGCAGCUUGACAUUGAUUUGGAUUUUUUAAUUGUCUAGUAUAGGAGGGACCCGCCAAAUCGGCGGGGACAGUGUAAUACCUCUCUUUGGAAAGUUACAAAUCUUACCUACAGGCCCGGGAAUCGGGUCUAGGAACAAUGUUUGGUGGGCAGUUUCGCUGGGGCGGUGUCCUGCUAAAGAGUAACGCAGGAGCACAAAGGUUGGCUUAGCGCGGAUGGAAACCGCAGCUAUACGUGUAAGGGCAUAAGCCAGCUUGACUGUGAGGCCGACGGGCCAAACAGAUGCGAAAGCAGGUCCUAGUGAUCUUCGAUACCUAUGUGGUAUAGGUACGGACUUAACGGAUAAAAGCUACCCCGGGGAUAACAGAGUAGUCGCACCCGAUAGUCCAUAUUGACGGUGCGGUUCGCUACCUCGAUGUCGGCUCAGUGCAUCCUGGGGCUGAAGAAGGUCCCAAGGGUCGGUCUGUUCGCCCGUUAAAGCACUACGCGAGCUGGGUUCAGAACGAUGUAAAUCAGUUCGGACUCUAUCCGGUACAAACGAGGGAUUUUUGAGGGAAGCUGUUCUCAGUACGAGAGGACCAGAAUGGAGGAAUCCCUAGUGUAUCAGUUGUUCUGUCAAGAGCAAUGCUGAGUAGCUACAAUCCUAAGGGAUAACAGCUGAAAGCAUCUAAGCGGGAAGCCCAUCCCAAGAUUAGAAAUCCAUGUCCGCCGAUUCGGCGGACGAAAGACCCCAAGAAGAACACUUGGAGAUAGGCAGCAGGUGGAAGAUCCGUAAGGAUUUAAGCCAAGCUGUACUAAUUGGUCGAAAGUCAAAAAUU